ACUAAGUGUUUGCCUCCAAUUCAGGAGCAAUUGUAAAAGAAUGUCCUGGAAAAGGGAGUGAAUCAGGGAACCUAGGAGAAGGAGCUGGGCUUCAGGUCCCGGAAGAAAAAGCAGCAAACGUGGCUAACGUCUUCAUCACCCCAGAGUUAACACUAAUAUGAGCCAAUCCCACUAAUUGGCUCAGGGGAUGGGUAUAGAUCAGUGGUAGAGCACAUGCUUAGCAUGCAUGAGGUCCCAGGUUCAAUCCCCAGCAUCUCCAUUAAAAAAAAAAAAAGAAAGAAACUGGCUCGGAUGGUAACUGCACGGAGAUCACACAGCUGGAGAUCACACAGCUGGAAGCAGCCAGGACAGACACCACAAACAGAGUUUGAACUAGCUUACUGAGCCCUGCUGCAGACCCAAGAUUCUUCCAUCAGCCUCUGCAGACCUCAACAGCACAGGGGAGCCGCCCAGCCCCUCGGAGCUCUUGGCCUCUCUUCCUCCCGGCCCACUGUAAAAGCACAGCAAUCAGCGUAUCGUCCAAGCUGGCUAAGACAGCGAAGGGCCAGUCAUCUGGGGGCCUGCCAGCCUCUCCACCUAACCAGGACUUCCCUUGUGCCCGGCCGGCUCACAGUCCCCUCACUUCGGCUUCCUGUUCAGCUGGCUUCACUGACUGGACUCACACACAUCUUCAGGAGAUCCAUGGACCAGACCCACGAGGAAAGGAAUCCCUCCCGAGGAACAGGGCUGAUGAGGCAGCCCUGUGGAACUUCCCUUCAGAAGGCUUUCAUUUACUGUCCAAAUCUGAACACAGCAAUGAGGAAGGCAUGCAAGACUUUGCUGAAUGAGUAAUUCAAACCACAGAGAAUUAGCACCAAAUCAGUACCUUGGCCUCCUUCCUGCUCAAAUAGAAAUGGACUUUGAAGGUUGAGAAAGACAUGAGAAGUGGUUCGCAAACCUGAGCAUCUGAAUCACCCAGGAAGCAUGUUUCAAAACUGAGAUUUCAGGAUGCUACCUCCUCCCCAACCCCAACCCCAACCCCAGGAGAUUACGAUCUUAUGCGUAAGGAAUGACUCAGAAAAUCGUAUUUUUAACCUAUCUGGGAAACAACCAUGGCAAUUUACAAACAAAAAAUGUUAGCUUACAAUUCCUAAGUAUGAAGAAGGUGGCACGGUUACCUUUCAAUAUUCGUUUACUGCUUACUAUUCUAACCAUUUCACCACUGUUUGUAUCACUUAAUACUCUUCCCAAUUUUAUGAGGUAGGUAUAAUGGUCAGGUGAGGAGCAGAGCUCAGAUUUACACUGAGGACCAGAAAUAAAAUGCACAACCUCAAAGCUAAGAAUUUUGUUUUAUUCAGCGGACUUUCUGAGGACUUCAAGCCGGGAAGACAGCCUCCCAGAUAGCUCUAACGGAUUUCUCUGAAGAGGUAAGGGAGGAGCCAGGAUACACAGGAGUUUUGUAGCAAAAACUAGGUAGGGGGAUCAAAAGAUUACUGGUAAAGAAAUCCAGAUGUCUCAAGGUAAUGAAUUUAGCUCUUCUCUAUGGAUGGGAGGAUGCAAAAGCCUGGGCUCACUGAAAUCAUUCCUUCAUGUGCACCUGAGCCUUCUAAGCCAGUAUCCCGUCCCUUCCAACCUGAGUUCACUCAGGGCUCACCAUGGGGGAUGGCUGCAUUGUGAUGGCUUGAUGGCUGCAAUAUCCUUUCUAUGGUGCUACUGUAGGCAAUAUUUUUCAUUCAAAAUACCCAAGCAAUCAGGCUUCAGAUGGGGUGUUACUCACUGCACCCAACCUGGAUGAGGGCUCAGGGUUGUAUAAAUGUGCUUCUGGCAAUGGUGCUGGGAAACCAACAUGGGCAUCGCCCUGCUUUCCUGCAUUUACUCCCAUGGCCCAGGGUAACCCUACUCACUCAAAAGUGCCUGCCUUUCAUCAGGCAGGAGCCCAGUCCUGGCUCUGAUGGCCCUGCAAAGGCAGAACAGCUAUAAGAUCUGCCUGACCUCAUCAGCCCAGAGUGUGACAAAUGAUGGGACACGAGGCUAAGGAAGCAGAUUCUGAAGAAUCCUUUAAGGCCACACUAAAGAAUUACUCCUGAGAGCAGUGGGGAGGCAGAAGAGGUUUUUAAGCAGAAGGAUGGCAGGGACUUGGUUUAGGGGAAAGGCUGGUAGCAGGAAGACCUGAAACAGCAGGAUCCUAUGGGGUAACCCCUGGUACAAAUCCUCUCCAUGUCCCCCAUUUCUCUUUUGUAGGAAAUGGGCUUCAGUCAGCCUCUUUGACCUUCCCUGACUUCCAAAGAGUAGAUUCAAUGAGUUGCUAAUCAGGGAAAGGAGGGAAUGCAGAAACAAGGGAUAAACAGUCAACAAUACUGCAGCCUUAAGGCGGAGUCUUGGUUCCUCUGAAGGAAUAUACUUAACAACAUCUGUGAGUUCUCCUGCAGGAACUAAGGCCUCCACCCAGGUGGAGGAGGCUUCAGGUGGAGCACAAGUUUCCUGAACAUCGCCCUGUUACCUUACCACCAACCCAUCAGAGGAAAGUCACACACCCUGCAGCCCUCACCCCAAAUUUUGCCUAGAAAAACUUCCCCAAAAACCAUCGGGGAGUUCAGGGGUUUUCAAGCAGCAGCCACCCUGUUCUCUUUGCUCAACCCUGCAAUAAACCUUU